GUAGGUGAACCUGCGGAAGGAUCAUUAUCACGUAUAUCCACGUUAUAAACCCUUCUUAGAAACAGUAAACGUAAACGCACAAUCUGGCUCGAUUAAAGUUUUGGCGUAAAAGAAUAUGACUUUCAGGUUGCGUCCUGAAUGAAAGGAGAUUGCUAUUGUAAUUUUGAGAUCUCCGACUAUUCUAAGCUGCCGAGGUGGACGCUCCUGUGUGGAGGCAUUCCUCGAUGAAAUGGUUUUGCAGGUUUCGACCUGCAAUUCCACGGAACUUGUACCUGAGCUCAGCGUGUAAUCAAAAUUUACAUACUUAUAGAUUAACUAUUUAAACCCCCUUUGAUAAAUUGAACUAACGAACUCCUACUCCAAUAAAACGGAGAUGAGUUAAUUACGAAACAAAGAACAACUCUUAGCAACGGAUAUCUUGGUUCUC
rnacentral:misc_RNA from 1 species